rnacentral:misc_RNA from 1 species
AACAUCGCGCACCUGCGGGAACCUGCGGAAGGAUCAUUAAUGAUUGGUGGCUGUUGCUGACUAGUGUUUCUAGUAUGUGCACGCCACACCUUCAAUCCCACUUACACCUGUGCACCUUCUGUAAUAGGUCUAUGUGGAUACGGAGAUAUGAAAGUUUGCGCUCUCGUACUCUGUUGAAGCAGUCUACUACGUUUUUUUACACACACACAAUAGUCAUUGAAUGUAUUUUUUAUUCUUAUG